rnacentral:tRNA from 1 species
UAAAGGUUAAGACAAAGAAGUAGCUGCUAACUAACUUCUAAAGCGGUUAAAUUCCGUUUACCUUUUG